rnacentral:tRNA from 1 species
GGAGGAUUGUCCGAGUGGUUUAUGGUGCUGGUCUCGAAAACCGGUUGGCUCCUUGAAGGGCCUCACAGGUUCGAAUCCUGUAUCCUCCG